rnacentral:lncRNA from 1 species
GACGUCAAAUUUUCAUGCUUUCCUCUGAAUUUCCUAUUGUGACGGCAUGAAAAAAGGCGACCAUGCCUGAUGACGUCACAUAGAAAGAACACAUCUUUUUGCAGAUCAUUCGAAAAGAAGGAAUAAGUUUGCCUGCAUAAUGUUAGAAAAUCAUUAGAGAAACAGAUUCCACCACCAAAUUUCGUGUAAUACGAUAUUUAUCCACUCUCGACAGUAAAAUUUAAAAUAUCUAAAACACUCGGGCAAGCCUCACGUUUUAAAUUUGAAAAUUUAACUGUCUCGAGUGGAUAAAUAU